rnacentral:rRNA from 1 species
UACGUAGGGUGCAAGCGUUAAUCGGAAUUACUGGGCGUAAAGCGUGCGCAGGCGGUUUUGUAAGUCAGAUGUGAAAUCCCCGGGCUUAACCUGGGAACUGCGUUUGAAACUACAAGGCUAGAGUGCGGGAGAGGAGAGUGGAAUUCCCGGUGUAGCGGUGAAAUGCGCAGAUAUCGGGAAGAACACCCGUGGCGAAGGCGGCUCUCUGGAACGCAACUGACGCUGAGACGCGAAAGCGUGGGGAGCAAACAGG